rnacentral:rRNA from 1 species
GAUGAACGCUGGCGGCGUGCCUAAUACAUGCAAGUCGAGCGAACAGACGAGGAGCUUGCUCCUCUGACGUUAGCGGCGGACGGGUGAGUAACACGUGGAUAACCUACCUAUAAGACUGGGAUAACUUCGGGAAACCGGAGCUAAUACCGGAUAAUAUAUUGAACCGCAUGGUUCAAUAGUGAAAGACGGUUUUGCUGUCACUUAUAGAUGGAUCCGCGCCGCAUUAGCUAGUUGGUAAGGUAACGGCUUACCAAGGCAACGAUGCGUAGCCGACCUGAGAGAGUGAUCGGCCACACUGGAACUGAAACACGGUCCAGACUCCUACGGGAGGCAGCAGUAGGGAAUCUUCCGCAAUGGGCGAAAGCUUGACGGAGCAACGCCGCGUGAGUGAUGAAGGUCUUCGGAUCGUAAAACUCUGUUAUUAGGGAAGAACAAAUGUGUAAGUAACUAUGCACGUCUUGACGGUACCUAAUCAGAAAGCCACGGCUAACUACGUG